AAACUUGAGAGUUUGAUCAUGGCUCAGAACGUACGCUGGCGGCACGCCUAACACAUGCAAGUCGAACGAAGUAGCAAUACUUAGUGGCAGACGGGUGAGUAACAUGUAGGUAUCUGCCCUUUGGCCUGGAAUAACACGAGGAAACUUGUGCUAAUACCGGAUAAGUCUUUACGGAGAAAGCUUUAUGCACCAUUGGAUGAGCCUGCACUUGAUUAGUUUGUUGGUGGGGUAAUGGCCUACCAAGACUGUGAUCAAUAGCUGAUUUGAGAGGAUGAUCAGCCACAUUGGGACUGAGACACGGCCCAAACUCCUACGGGAGGCAGCAGUGGGGAAUCUUGCACAAUGGAGGAAACUCUGAUGCAGCGAUGCCGCGUGAGUGAAGAAGGCCCUUGGGUUGUAAAGCUCUUUCGUCGGGGAAGAAAAUGACUGUACCCGAAUAAGAAGGUCCGGCUAACUUCGUGCCAGCAGCCGCGGUAAUACGAAGGGACCUAGCGUAGUUCGGAAUUACUGGGCUUAAAGAGUUCGUAGGUGGUUGAAAUAGUUGGUGGUGAAAUCCCAGAGCUUAACUCUGGAACUGCCAUCAAAACUUUUCAGCUAGAGUAUGAUAGAGGAAAGCAGAAUUUCUAGUGUAGAGGUGAAAUUCGUAGAUAUUAGAAAGAAUACCAAUUGCGAAGGCAGCUUUCUGGAUCAUUACUGACACUGAGGAACGAAAGCAUGGGUAGCGAAGAGGAUUAGAUACCCUCGUAGUCCAUGCCGUAAACGAUGUGUGUUAGACGUUGGAAAUUUAUUUUCAGUGUCGCAGGGAAACCGAUAAACACACCGCCUGGGGAGUACGACCGCAAGGUUAAAACUCAAAUGAAUUGACGGGGACCCGCACAAGUAGUGGAGCAUGUGGUUUAAUUCGAAGAUACGCGCAGAACCUUACCAACACUUGACAUGUUCGUCGCGACUCUAAGAGAUUAGAGUUUUCGGUUCGGCCGGACGAAACACAGGUGCUGCAUGGCUGUCGUCAGCUCGUGUCGUGAGAUGUUGGGUUAAGUCCCGCAACGAGCGCAACCCUCACUUUUAGUUGCCAUCAUUAAGUUGGGCACUCUGAAAGAACUGCCAGUGAUAAGCUGGAGGAAGGUGGGGAUGACGUCAAGUCCUCAUGGCCCUUACGUGUUGGGCUACACACGUGCUACAAUGGUAUCUACAACAGGAAGCAAGACUGCGAAGUUAAGCAAAUCCCUAAAAGAUACCUCAGUUCGGAUUGCACUCUGCAACUCGAGUGCAUGAAGCUGGAAUUACUAGUAAUCGUGGAUCAGCGUGCCACGGUGAAUGCGUUCCCGGGUCUUGUACACACCGCCCGUCACACCAUGGGAGUUGGUUCUACCUUAAGGCAAGGUUUCAAACCCUUGACCACGGUAUAGUCAGCGACUGGGGUGAAGUCGUAACAAGGUAGCCGUAGGGGAACCUGCGGCUGGAUUACCUCCUUU
rnacentral:rRNA from 1 species